UCCAGUUCCUAAAAGGCCAAUCAUUUAAUUUACAAUUAAGAACCAAAUAUGGGUGUAUUGUAUCUAUGUAUUAGUACGAAGCAUGCAAAAUGCGGGCAAACUGUUAACUACCACAAGAAACAAAAGCGUCCUCGUAUAUUUUGCAUGAACAUCGGGGCCGAGAUAUCCUUGCGUUUACAAUUCUAUUCUUUGUGCAACCGUUGGUAAAAAUUAUUAAAAAACACUGUUAUUUGUUACAAAAACGGACUGUUUUCUUUAUAAAAUAAAUAGAUUACAUAUA